GUAGGGUGCGAGCGUUGUCCGGAAUUAUUGGGCGUAAAGAGCUCGUAGGUGGUUUGUCGCGUCGGUCGUGAAAUCCCGCAGCUUAACUGCGGGUCUGCGGCCGGUACGGGCAGACUGGAGUGCAGUAGGGGAGACUGGAAUUCCUGGUGUAGCGGUGAAAUGCGCAGAUAUCAGGGGGAACACCGGUGGCGAAGGCGGGUCUCUGGGCUGUUACUGACACUGAGGAGCGAAAGCGUGGGGAGCGAACAGGAUUAGAUACCCUGGUAGUCCACGCUGUAAACGUUGGGCGCUAGGUGUGGGGGACUUCAUUGUUUUCUGUGCCGUAGCUAACGCUUUAAGCGCCCCGCCUGGGGAGUACGGCCGCAAGGCUAAA
rnacentral:rRNA from 1 species